ensembl:lncRNA
GUAGACUUGGCACCCAAGGCCUCAUACUGACUGCUAGUUUUCCUGAUGCUUGUGUCACGUGUCCUUUCCAGACUGAGUGAAAGGACCUCUCUGGUGAUCCAGUGGUUAAGAAUAUGCCUUCCAAUGCAGGAGAUACGGUCCAGAUCUCUGAUCGGGAAACUAAGAUCCCACGUGCCUAGCAGCAACUAAGCCCAUACACCACAACUACUGAGCCCGUGUGCCGAAAGCCUGUGCUCCGCAACAAGAGAAGAGUAGCCCGCACGCGGCAACUAGAGAAGGCCUGCAAGCACAUAGCAGUGAAGACCCAGAGCAGCCAAAAAUGAC